rnacentral:rRNA from 1 species
GACAGAGGGGGCAAGCGUUGCUCGGAAUCACUGGGCGUAAAGGGCGCGUAGGCGGGAUGGCAAGUCGGUCGUGAAAUCCUUCGGCUCAACCGAAGAACGUCGGCCGAUACUGCCGUUCUUGAGGGAUGCAGAGGAGAUUGGAAUUCCCGGUGUAGCGGUGAAAUGUGUAGAGAUCGGGAGGAACACCGGUGGCGAAGGCGGGUCUCUGGGCCUUACCUGACGCUGAGGCGCGAAAGCUAGGGGAGCGAACAGG